rnacentral:rRNA from 1 species
AGUGGAUGGGGAGCAACCUAGUUGUGCGUGUGUAAAGGUAGUGCCAAGAAAAGCGGUGAUCAUGAUGAAAAUCAAUUCCCGGUACCCGAAACCGACACAGGUGGGCAAGUAGAGAAUACUAAGGGGCGCGAGGUAACUCUCUCCAAGGAACUCGGCAAAAUGACCCCGUAACUUAGGGAGAAGGGGUGCCACCGAGAGGUGGUCGCAGUGAAGAGGCCCAGGCGACUGUUUAGCAAAAACAUAGGUCUCUGCAAACUCGAAAGAGGAGGUAUAGGGGCUGACGCCUGCCCAGUGCCGGAAGGUUAAAGAAGUUGGUCAGUCUUAGGAUGAAGCUAGCGACUGGAGCCCCGGUGAACGGCGGCCGUAACUAUAACGGUCCUAAGGUAGCGAAAUUCCUUGUCGGGUAAGUUCCGACCCGCACGAAAGGCGUAACGAUCUGGGCGCUGUCUCGGAGAGAGGCUCGGCGAAAUAGGAUUGUCUGUGAAGAUACGGACUACCUGCAUUUGGACAGAAAGACCCUAUGAAGCUUUACUAUAGCUUGGAAUUGUGUUCGGGCUUCCUGUGCGCAGGAUAGGUGGGAGGCGUAGAAGGUAUUCUUGUGGGGAUACUGGAGCCAACGGUGAGAUACCACACUCAGGAGGCUAGAAUUCUAACUUAAUUAAGGACAGUUUCAGGUGGGUAGUUUGACUGGGGCGGUCGCCUCCAAAAAGGUAACGGAGGCGUACAAAGGUUCCCUCAGACUGGUUGGAAAUCAGUCGCAGAGUGCAAAGGCAGAAGGGAGCUUGACUGCGAGAAGUACAGUUCGAGCAGGGUGGAAACACGGUCUUAGUGAUCCGACGGUGCUGUGUGGAAGGGCCGUCGCUCAACGGAUAAAAGUUACUCUAGGAUAACAGGCUGAUCUCCCCCAAGAGUUCACAUCGACGGGGAGGUUUGGCACCUCGAUGUCGGCUCAUCGCAACCUGGGGCGGAAGUACGUCCCAAGGGUUGGGCUGUUCGCCCAUUAAAGCGGUACGUGAGCUGGGUUCAGAACGUCGUGAGACAGUUCGGUCCAUAUCCGAUGUAGGCGUGAGAAUAUUGAGAGGAGCCUUCCUUAGUACGAGAGGACCGGGAAGGACGCACCGCUGGUGUACCUGUUAUGAUGCCAAUUGUAAACGCAGGGUAGCCAAGUGCGGAGAGGAUAACCGCUGAAAGCAUCUAAGUGGGAAGCCCACCUCAAGAUGAGUAUUCUGGUGUAAGGUCACGGGAAGACGACCCGUAAAUAGGCACGAGGUGGAAGUGCAGAGAUGUAUGAAGCCGAAGUGUACUAAUAGACCGUCGGCUUGACC